AGAGCGGUGCCCAGCGUAGAGUGCCGGAAUCAUAAUCCUGGGGUCGGGGGUUCGAGUCCCUCUCUCGCUA
rnacentral:tRNA from 1 species